rnacentral:lncRNA from 1 species
AACACGAAAAGAAAGACAAGAAAGACAAAGCAAAGGUGAGUGAAAAGAAAUCAAUAGCUCUAAAGACUUCCUCCUCAAAGUCUCAAGCAAAAGAGCAAAGUGAUUAUUCAUCGAGUGACGAAGAAGAAGAGGACAAGAGUGAAGAUAUGGGGCUGUUCGUCAAACGCUACAACCGUUACGUGAGAAAGAACGGCAUCCAACAUUCCGAGAAGAACUUAGUAAACUUCCGGAAGCAAUCUAGGUUCUCCAAAAAUGAUGACUCAAAAGGAAAAACAACUAGAGGGUCGUGCUAUAAGUGUG